AUGUUUUUCUUAUUCAGAAAUUGCCAAAGAGCCUAUCUGAGAGUUGUGGUAUCAAGCCUGAUGAAGAAGGCUCUGUUGGAAUACGCCUUACCGCAAGGGGCUCCAUCACCACUUGUGCGUACGGCGUGGACACGGACGGUCGCACACACUUCAACUUGGUUGGGUGGAAGAGCUUCCUCGUCGGCAAGAAUCUUCAUGUUGGACAAGCAAUCCUCAUUACUAUCAGGACAGCCACCGCCCAGGCUUGAGGAUGAUGGUCGUCACCGACAUCAUCUAGAACUUCAUAUGCAUGCGUGUGGAUGUUGA
rnacentral:rRNA from 1 species